CAGCAGCCACGGUAAUACGUAGGGUGCGAGCGUUAAUCGGAAUUACUGGGCGUAAAGCGUGCGCAGGCGGUGAUGUAAGACAGUUGUGAAAUCCCCGGGCUCAACCUGGGAACUGCAUCUGUGACUGCAUCGCUGGAGUGCGGCAGAGGGGGAUGGAAUUCCGCGUGUAGCAGUGAAAUGCGUAGAUAUGCGGAGGAACACCGAUGGCGAAGGCAAUCCCCUGGGCCUGCACUGACGCUCAUGCACGAAAGCGUGGGGAGCAAACAGGAUUAGAUACCCCUGUAGUCCCUGUCUCUUAUAC
rnacentral:rRNA from 1 species